AGAGUUGCAGCUCAGGGGUGGAGUAUCUGCUUUGCAAGCAGAAGGUCCCAGGUUCAAGAUUUGACAUCUCCA